rnacentral:rRNA from 1 species
AGUGAACGCUGGCGGCAGGCCUAACACAUGCAAGUCGAGCGGCAGCGGGUCCUUCGGGAUGCCGGCGAGCGGCGGACGGGUGAGGAAUGCGUCGGAAUCUGCCUUUUUGUGGGGGAUAACGUAGGGAAACUUACGCUAAUACCGCAUACGACCUACGGGUGAAAGUGGGGGACCGCAAGGCCUCACGCAGAAAGAUGAGCCGACGUCGGAUUAGCUAGUUGGCGGGGUAAAGGCCCACCAAGGCGACGAUCCGUAGCUGGUCUGAGAGGAUGAUCAGCCACACUGGAACUGAGACACGGUCCAGACUCCUACGGGAGGCAGCAGUGGGGAAUAUUGGACAAUGGGCGCAAGCCUGAUCCAGCCAUGCCGCGUGUGUGAAGAUGGCCUUCGGGUUGUAAAGCACUUUUGUCCGGAAAGAAAUCCUGUCGGCUAAUACCCGGCGGGGAUGACGGUACCGGAAGAAUAAGCACCGGCUAACUUCGUG